UACGGAGGAUGCAAGCGUUAUCCGGAUUUAUUGGGCGUAAAGCGUCCGCAGGUGGCUAAUCAAGUCUGCUGUUAAAGCGCAGGGCUUAACUCUGUAACGGCGGUGGAAACUGGAUAGCUAGAGUAUGGUAGGGGUAGCGGGAAUUCCCAGUGUAGCGGUGAAAUGCGUAGAUAUUGGGAAGAACACCAGCGGCGAAAGCGCGCUACUGGGCCAUUACUGACACUCAUGGACGAAAGCUAGGGGAGCGAAAGGGAUUAGAUACCCCUGUAGUCCUAGCUGUAAACGAUGGAUACUAGGUGUUGCCCGUAUCGACCCGGGCAGUGCCGUAGCUAACGCGUUAAGUAUCCCGCCUGGGGAGU
rnacentral:rRNA from 1 species